ACAUAUAUCUUUUUGUUUUUACAGUUACCGACUGUCGCAGAACUUUUAAUUGUUUGAACUCGAGCACAGCAGAAAUGACCUAAUGUAAAUGAUUAACAGAACAAAAUACAAGCUUAUCUCACAGAAAGCGUUUAAAAACCUGGGUAGUGGAACGGAAAAAACAAGGUCAUGGUGUUAUAAAAUUAACGUGCAUGUGUUGGAUGGUUUGUAUAUAUUUUGUUUGUGUGUUUAUAAAAUUCCCGAUGGCUUUUCUUCCAUGUUUGAAUAUGUUGCAAUGUUCUUGUGAUGGGGAGUCGACUCCAAAAGAGUCGAUACUUCGACUCUGAAUAGCCCCAGAGUCGGGGUCGACUCCAGCACAGGAAUCGACUCUCGGUGUCGACUCUGUUGCUGUGUCCGGAAUCGCUCACUUGUUUACUAAUCCAUAUUCUACAUAAUGCAUUGCAGUUAAGUGCAUAAUGUCUAUGGUUAAGUGCACUAAGCAAGGAGUGAACGACUUUAGUUCGUAAUUAUACAUACCUCCGUGUCAGCUUUAGUGUUGAUGGCAGCUUAUAUUAUUGCAAUAAAUAUAGAUUUGAUUUUCCAUAGUUUGUUCAUUAAACUAACCAUACAUGAAAAUAACAAAAAAAACUCAGAUCAACAAUAAACACAUUAAUAAGUGUACAUUACUAUAUGCAUUUUUAUGUAUUGUAUUAAUUUUAGUAUCUUUAACUCUGUGAGAUGAAUUCAUUAAAUAAUCCCUGCUUUCUCGUUUAUUUAAUUCUAACAUAACAUUCGACCACAGAUGUUUUUCGUGACUUUUCACUCGGUAAAAUUAGGUAUCGGAAAUUAGCAACAUUGAUCGGCUACUCAUCAAGUCAUCUCUAAAUUGGACUAACUUGGACAGUCUCGCUAAACGUGUGUUGUUUUAAUGAGGGGAUUUUAAGGCUUCGCGUCGGGAAAAAUAAAUUAACUGUGUAAGGACUGCCAUCUUGGCAUAUUUAUGACCCUUUUUUGAUGUACAGUAAAUGGAGUCGAGGAGUCGAUUCCACCGACUCCUACAGUGGGAGUCGGAGUCGACUCCAAAAAAACAGGAAUCGAACACCCCUAGUUUUGCUGAAAAGAUCCUACUGGGGCACUAUUGUGUUCAUAUCUAUGGUCUGAUCACCGCCGAAGAAGACGAGAUGAAAGCUGAUUCGUUGAAAACGAAAAACGUCACUUCCGCAAGUUUCUUAAGUACGUAAGACACACGUUCCUUAGCCACGUUUGUCAUUCGUUUUGGAGCGUUGGAGAGUGGAGAGUCAACAGCAACAGCCGAUUUUAAAAAUCUUUUUAAAAUCUUUUUUUGUUCAACUUUACGGUUAUAUUUCAAUCACUCGGUGCUUUUUGUAUCGCCACAUUUGGGUUAACCAAAGACUGUGUUUUGUUUUUUGGUAAUGUGUCUUGAAGUCAUGAAAAUGAAAGAAAACUACCCGAAGGACACCGAGACCGCGCCUGUUCAUAAGAAGAAAUGGUCAAAAUCAAAGAGGAAGACGUUUCUGCGAGCAAAAAUCAGCGAAAAGAGGCGACGGGUCCGCGCCUGGUCUACCAAGAGACGACAGUUUUGUUCGGGCCGUGUUGACGGUUACGUUACAGCUACGAGGAAUCAAAGUUACGUACCAGCGGUUGCCAUGGCACCAAGAAACACAACACAGUAUUUAAUGGACCUGGAGUACGCUGAACGAUUAGAUGUUUCGUUUGAGACAUGCGAUGUAAGCCAUGAUUUCUCAAUGCAGAUUCAUGUCCCAUUUGAUGAGAGCGUUUUCUCACUGUCGGACUCUGAUUACGACAGAUCGUUGGACUUUCAACAGCGAGACUUCGAGGACGUGUUCUUCAGGAAUGAAAUCUGACGUAUUUCCGAAACCCGACUUGAUUUCGUCGGAACAAGACGACCGGGCAGCUGUGAAACCAUAGACAGUAAUAUCAUUGCGCAGACUCCAACUCAGGGAGGCGGAACGCUCUGCGUCACAGCUGCGUGAUGACGUGUACGCCACGCCCCGCCUCCAGUACGGCCACCACCACGUGGCCAGCAGGUAAACUCGCUCCACCCUUUGUGUAUGCGGUGUUAGAGCGUUGCAGUAACCUGAUGUCGCAGUGUAAUUUGUGAACAAAUGUGCAUGCAUUGUUCUUCCUACGGAUGCAUGUGUGUUUUGAGAGACUUUUACAGGUUGCUGAUCCUCCUCGACGGAUCUCAGCUGUCUGUGCAACCCACCCCAGAGCCUUGGGACAAAGCCACAUGGCUGCCUGGUCAUCGCUGCUGGGUAAAUGUGGUAACUGUUUGAAUGUCAAAUCACACAAGUGCACUCAGAUCUUCAUCUCAUGUGAUAUGAUCUUAUUUUGUGAGAACUUUUGUAAAUAUUGAUUGUAUUAAUUAUCAAUAAUUGUAUUAACUAUUAAAACAUAUGUCUGACUCUCA